CUUAGGAAUCUGCCUGGUAGUGGGGGAUAACGUUCCGAAAGGAGCGCUAAUACCGCAUACGUCCUACGGGAGAAAGCAGGGGACCUUCGGGCCUUGCGCUAUCAGAUGAGCCUAGGUCGGAUUAGCUAGUUGGUGAGGUAAUGGCUCACCAAGGCGACGAUCCGUAACUGGUCUGAGAGGAUGAUCAGUCACACUGGAACUGAGACACGGUCCAGACUCCUACGGGAGGCAGCAGUGGGGAAUAUUGGACAAUGGGCGAAAGCCUGAUCCAGCCAUGCCGCGUGUGUGAANGAAGGUCUUCGGAUUGUAAAGCACUUUAAGUUGGGAGGAAGGGCAUUAACCUAAUACGUUAGUGUUUUGACGUUACCGACAGAAUAAGCACCGGCU
rnacentral:rRNA from 1 species